GGGUCCUGCAAACACAAACAUGACUCAUUAGUAUUUGGACUUAGGCAGAAACCUGCCACCUUUGAAAAUGACUAAAAAUUCCAUAUAUAUAUAGAUGGAAUAGUAUUUCUGAUGCCAACUUUGAUUUAACCACAGCUGUAGUGUUUCAAAUCUGACUGCAUACAUUCAUUCAUAGUCAGAUUCAGGUACAGAAAACAAUGUUUGGCUGAACAUUUAGCAAAUCUAGUCAAAUGUACAGCUGCUCAUAACAUUGUUCCAGUUAUACAGCUUAAGUGAGCUAGAAGUCUCAGGACUAGUUUAAUCCCCGUAGGAGAGUCUGCAGGAGAUAUUAGAAAGUCUAUUAGAAAGUCUUCCUUUUAAUUAAGAGAUGGUAUUUUUAUUGCAUCACCUGAUCCCACUUCCCAUAAUUGCUGGCGAUGUCAGAACUGACAAGGGACCCUCAUGUCUGCAGACUAUUUCAUUUAAUCCCUGAUGGGACAAUGAGGCCAAAACUCAAGUUUCCUGGUACUUUCAGAACUUUCAGUAGUUGAGUCCCUGUUCUUGUUUCUCAUAAACUUAUCUGAAUUUUUCUGGGAAAUGAAGUGCUAUAUUUAUGGUUAUAGAAACACCCUUAUGCCAUUAACACUUCUGCAUUGUCUCGGGAACGGAAGAAGCCGUGAUUUGGUGAUACACGGUCCACUUAAUCCUCAGCUGAAAGGUCAGCUAACAAAGCAUUUGCUUGUGCCAGUGAUGGUUCACUGAAAAUCAAACCAAGAACACUACCCAGUUUUACAUGGCCUGAAGGAUUUAUUUGGAGCAAGGUACCGGCAUGACAACUGGGUUUAGGAAGCUGUUCUCCCGUGGCAGAAGGUCUCCACCAGUUCACAAGGCUGAGAUUCAUCCACUGGAUUAGAGAAUUGAACGUUCCCAAGAUGGAGAAGGCCUGACAAUACCUGAAAUAUA